UACGUAGGGCGCAAGCGUUGUCCGGAAUUAUUGGGCGUAAAGAGCUCGUAGGCGGUUUGUCGCGUCUGCUGUGAAAACCUAAGGCUCAACCUUGGGCUUGCAGUGGGUACGGGCAGACUAGAGUGCGGUAGGGGUGACUGGAAUUCCUGGUGUAGCGGUGGAAUGCGCAGAUAUCAGGAGGAACACCAACGGCGAAGGCAGCUCGCUGGGACGGUACUGACACUGAGGCGCGAAAGCGUGGGGAGCGAACAGG
rnacentral:rRNA from 1 species